CAGCCGCCGCGGUAAUGCGUAGGUGGCAAGCGUUGUCCGGAAUUAUUGGGCGUAAAGGGCUCGCAGGCGGUUUCUUAAGUCUGAUGUGAAAGCCCCCGGCUCAACCGGGGAGGGUCAUUGGAAACUGGGAAACUUGAGUGCAGAAGAGGAGAGUGGAAUUCCACGUGUAGCGGUGAAAUGCGUAGAGAUGUGGAGGAACACUAGUGGCGAAGGCGACUCUCUGGUCUGUAACUGACGCUGAGGAGCGAAAGCGUGGGGAGCGAACAGGAUUAGAUACCCGCGUAGUCCCUGUCUCUUAUAC
rnacentral:rRNA from 1 species